GUGGGGAAUUUUGCGCAAUGGGCGAAAGCCUGACGCAGUAACGCCGCGUGGAGGAUGAAGGCCUUCGGGUUGUAAACUCCUGUCAGGAGGAACGACGGGGAAAGGGUGAUAAGCCCUUCCCUCCAGACGGUACCUCCAAAGGAAGCCCCGGCUAAUUCCGUGCCAGCAGCCGCGGUAAUACGGAAGGGGCAAGCGUUGUUCGGAAUCAUUGGGCGUAAAGGGCGCGUAGGUGGUUCUGUAUGUCUACCGUGAAAGCGUACGGCUCAACCGUAUUUUGUCGGUGGAAACUGUAGGACUUGAGGCUGGGAGGGGCUGGUGGAAUUCCCUGUGUAGCGGUGAAAUGCGUAGAGAUGGGGGAGAACACUCGUGGCGAAGGCGGCCAGCUAGACCAGUUCUGACACUGAGGCGCGACAGCGUGGGGAGCAAACAGGAUUAGAAACCCUAGUAGUCC
rnacentral:rRNA from 1 species